CCUACGGGUGGCUGCAGUGGGGAAUAUUGGACAAUGGGCGAAAGCCUGAUCCAGCCAUGCCGCGUGUGUGAAGAAGGCCUUCGGGUUGUAAAGCACUUUCAGUGGGGAAGAAAGCCUUGGGGCUAAUACCCUCGAGGAAGGACAUCACCCACAGAAGAAGCACCGGCUAACUCCGUGCCAGCAGCCGCGGUAAUACGGAGGGUGCGAGCGUUAAUCGGAAUUACUGGGCAUAAAGCGCGCGUAGGCGGUCUGAUAAGCCGGUUGUGAAAGCCCCGGGCUCAACCUGGGAACGGCAUCCGGAACUGUCAGGCUAGAGUGCAGGAGAGGAAGGUAGAAUUCCCGGUGUAGCGGUGAAAUGCGUAGAGAUCGGGAGGAAUACCAGUGGCGAAGGCGGCCUUCUGGACUGACACUGACGCUGAGGUGCGAAAGCGUGGGUAGCAAACAGGAUUAGAUACCCGAGUAGUC
rnacentral:rRNA from 1 species